GCCUGGCUGGCUCAGUAAGUGGAGCACGAGCCUCUUGAGCUUGGGUUGUGGGUUCCAGCCCCAUGUUGGGCA
rnacentral:tRNA from 1 species